AAAGUUGGAAAUGGGUGCCUUAAGGUUUCCAACAGGACGAAUAAGAUCUAACCCUCAAGUGAUACAAGUAAUCAUUCAGUCGGUUCUGUAUCUCCACCUUAGUU
rnacentral:ncRNA from 2 species